UACGUAGGCACCAAGCGUUGUCCGGAUUUAUUGGGCGUAAAGAGCUCGUAGGCGGUUCGGUAAGUCGGGUGUGAAAACUUUGGGCUCAACCCAAAGCCUGCACUCGAUACUGCUGUGACUUGAGUCCGGUAGGGGAGUGGGGAAUUCCGGGUGUAGCGGUGAAAUGCGUAGAUAUCCGGAGGAACACCGGUGGCGAAGGCGGCUUCCUGGACCGACACUGACGCUGAGGCGCGAAAGCCAGGGGAGCAAACGGG
rnacentral:rRNA from 1 species